rnacentral:lncRNA from 1 species
GGUAAGGUUUAAGUUUUUUGGCGUUAGGGUUAAAAUCACUGUCCAAAACCUUUGUAGGAACUCUUUUCCAACCUUUUGGAGUUGGUUAGACCAAAAAAAAAAGAAAAAUGAAAAAAAAAUAUUUGGGGUGUUCAGGCUUCCUAAAAGUAAUACCCGGGUAUUAGGUUAUGGGGCUAUGGUAAGGUUUAACGUUUUGGCGUUAGGUUUAAAAUCACUGUCCAAAACCUUUGUAGGAACUCUUUUCCAACCUUUUGGAGUUAGCUAGACCAAAAAAAAAAGAAAAAUGAACAAAAAAAUAUUUGGGGUUUUCGGGCUUCCUGAAUGUAAUACCCGGGUAUUAGAUUUUAAGGCUAGGGUAAGGUUUAAGUUUUUUGGCAUUAGGGUUAAAAUCACUGUCCAAAACCUUUGUAGGAACUCUUUUCCAACCUUUUGGAGUUAGUUAGACCAAAAAAAAAAUAAAAAUGAACAAAAAAAUUAUUGGGGGUUUUCGGGCUCCCUGAAAGUAAUACCCGGGUAUUAGGUUUUGGGACUAGGGAAAGGUUUAAGGUUUUUGGCGUUAGGGUUAAAAUCACUGUCCAAAUCCUUUGUAGGAACUCUUUUCCAACCUUUUGGAGUUAGUUAGACAAAAAAAAAAGAAUAAUGAAAAAAAAAUAUUUGGGGUGUUCAGGCUUCCUUAAUGUAAUACCCUUAAUGUAAUAAUUAGAUUUUAAUGCCAGGGUAAGGUUUAAGGUUUUUGGCGUUAGGGUUAAAAUCACUGUCCAAAACCUUUGUAGGAACUCUUUUUCAACCUUUUGGAGUUAGUUAGACCAAAAAAAAUGAAAAAAGAAAAAAAUAUUAUUGGGGGUUUUCGGGCUCCCUGAAAGUAAUACCCGGGUAUUAGGUUUUGGGACUAGGGAAAGGUUUAAGGUUUUUGGCGUUAGGGUUAAAAUCACUGUCCAAAACCUUUGUAGGAACUCUUUUCCAACCUUUUGGAGUUAGUUAGACCAAAAAAAAAAAAGAAAAAUGAAAAAAAAAUAUUUGGGGUGUUCAGGCUUCCUAAAAGUAAUACCCGGGUAUUAGGUUAUGGGGCUAUGGUAAGGUUUAAGGUUUUUGGCGUUAGGGUUAAAAUCACUGUCCAAAACCUUUGUAGGAACUCUUUUCCAACCUUUUGGAGUUAGUUAGACCAAAAAAAAAUGAAAAAUGAAAAAACAAUAUUUGGGGUUUUCGGGGUUCCUGAAUGUAAUACCCGGGUAUUAGGUUUUGGGGCUAGGGUAAGGUUUAAGGUUUUUGGCGUUAGGGUUAAAAUCACUGUCCAAAACCUUUGUAGGAACUCUUUUCCAACCUUUUGGAGUUAGUUAGACCAAAAAAAAAAAAAAAAGAAAAAAAAAUAUUGGGGGUUUUCAGGCUUCCUGAAAGUAAUACCCGGGUAUUAGGUUUUGGGACUAGGGAAAGGUUUAAGGUUUUUGGCGUUAGGGUUAAAAUCACUGUCCAAAACCUUUGUAGGAACUCUUUUCCAACCUUUUGGAGUUAGUUAGACAAAAAAAAAAGAAUAAUGAAAAAAAAAUAUUUGGGGUGUUCAGGCUUCCUUAAUGUAAUACCCUUAAUGUAAUAAUUAGAUUUUAAUGCCAGGGUAAGGUUUAAGGUUUUUGGCGUUAGGGUUAAAAUCACUGUCCAAAACCUUUGUAGGAACUCUUUUUCAACCUUUUGGAGUUAGUUAGACCAAAAAAAAGAAAAAAAAAAAAAAAUUAUUAGGGGUUUUCGGGCUCCCUGAAAGUAAUACCCGGGUAUUAGGUUUUGGGACUAGGGAAAGGUUUAAGGUUUUUGGCGUUAGGGUUAAAAUCACUGUCCAAAACCUUUGUAGGAACUCUUUUCCAACCUUUUGGAGUUAGUUAGACCAAAAAAAAAUGAAAAAAGAAAAAAAAAUUAUUUGGGGUGUUCAGGCUUCCUAAAAGUAAUACCCGGGUAUUAGGUUAUGGGGCUAGGGUAAGGUUUAAGGUUUUUGGCGUUAGGGUUAAAAUCACUGUCCAAAACCUUUGUAGGAACUCUUUUCCAACCUUUUGGAGUUAGUUAGACAAAAAAAAAUGAAAAAUGAAAAAAACAAUAUUUGGGGUUUUCGGGGUUCCUGAAUGUAAUACCCGGGUAUUAGAUUUUAAGGCUAGGGAAAGGUUUAAGUUUUUUGGCAUUAGGGUUAAAAUCACUGUCCAAAACCUUUGUAGGAACUCUUUUCCAACCUUUUGGAGUUAGUUAGACCAAAAAAAAAUGAAAAAUGAAAAAAAAAUAUUUGGGGUGUUCAGGCUUCCUGAAUGUAAUACCUGGGUAUUAGAUUUUAAGGCUAGGGUAAGGUUUAAGGUUUUUGGCGUUAGGGUUAAAAUCACUGUCCAAAACCUUUGUAGGAACUCUUUUCCAACCUUUUGGAGUUAGUUAGACCAAAAAAAAAGAAAAAUGAAAAAAAAUUAGUGGGGGUUUUCGGGCUUCCUGAAGGUAAUACCUGGGUAUUAGAUUUUAAGGCUAGGGUAAGGUUUAAGGUUUUUGGCGUUAGGGUUAAAAUCACUGUCCAAAACCUUUGUAGGAACUCUUUUCCAACCUUUUGGAGUUAGUUAGACCAAAAAAAAAAAGAAAAAUGAAAAAAAAAAAUAUGGGGU